UUGCACGCUGGCGGCAGGCCUAACACAUGCAAGUCGCACGGUAACAGGAAGCAGCUUGCUGCUUUGCUGACGAGUGGCGGACGGGUGAGUAAUGUCUGGGAAACUGCCUGAUGGAGGGGGAUAACUACUGGAAACGGUAGCUAAUACCGCAUAACGUCGCAAGACCAAAGAGGGGGACCUUAGGGCCUCUUGCCAUCGGAUGUGCCCAGAUGGGAUUAGCUAGUAGGUGGGGUAACGGCUCACCUAGGCGACGAUCCCUAGCUGGUCUGAGAGGAUGACCAGCCACACUGGAACUGAGACACGGUCCAGACUCCUACGGGAGGCAGCAGUGGGGAAUAUUGCACAAUGGGCGCAAGCCUGAUGCAGCCAUGCCGCGUGUAUGAAGAAGGCCUUCGGGUUGUAAAGUACUUUCAGCGGGGAGGAAGGGAGUAAAGUUAAUACCUUUGCUCAUUGACGUUACCCGCAGAAGAAGCACCGGCUAACUCCGUG
rnacentral:rRNA from 1 species